UACCUGAAGAUAUAGUGCAGAGGAAACAAAAUGAUCCAUCAAAACCACCCGCGACCAAUCAAAACAUCCUUCUGCACAAUCUAAAAUAACUUAGCCACAAAGAUGUAAAACCGCAUGAUCACAUAAUAUAAUAUCCUUGAACAAUUCAAUUUAGAAACCAAACCGUAGAAGAAUAUCAUGUAUCAUAGGAUCCUCCUCCAGAAAUCUAAACCAAUAAAACAAAAAAGACAAGUAAAUGAAAAUCAGACAAACCUAGAAAGAUGAUAAACCAGAAGAAAGAUUUUAUUACAGAGGGCACAAACACACUCACCAGAAUCACAAAAAGGAUACGUUUGGUUCCAGACUCCUUUUGGAACUUCUCAGCCAGAGUGUUCAUAUCCUUCAGUCACAAGGGGAAUUCAUCACCAGAGUGUUCAUAUUUUUCGUUCCUAAGCUUGAUCACGAGCAUUUAGUUUCCUCUCGCAUUCUUCACGACUGGAUCACCUUCUUCCAAGUAGCCUGUGACUAGCCAUGAUAAAAUCAGGCCAAAAAAUAUUUACAUUAAGAUUCAAUUUUUGUUUCAAAAUAUCAAUUUAGAUGAAAGGACAUAAGAACGGACUCAAGAGAAUCUAAAUCACCAUUACUAACUUGGUCGACUUCUUUAAGAAGAAGAAGAAGAAGAAGAAGAAGAAGAAGAAGAAGAAGAAGAAGAAGA
rnacentral:lncRNA from 1 species